GACGAACGCUGGCGGCGUGCCUAAUACAUGCAAGUAGAACGCUGAAGGAGGAGCUUGCUUCUCUGGAUGAGUUGCGAACGGGUGAGUAACGCGUAGGUAACCUGCCUGGUAGCGGGGGAUAACUAUUGGAAACGAUAGCUAAUACCGCAUAAGAGUAGAUGUUGCAUGACAUUUGCUUAAAAGGUGCAAUUGCAUCACUACCAGAUGGACCUGCGUUGUAUUAGCUAGUUGGUGGGGUAACGGCUCACCAAGGCGACGAUACAUAGCCGACCUGAGAGGGUGAUCGGCCACACUGGGACUGAGACACGGCCCAGACUCCUACGGGAGGCAACAGUAGGGAAUCUUCGGCAAUGGACGGAAGUCUGACCGAGCAACGCCGCGUGAGUGAAGAAGGGUUUCGGAUCGUAAAGCUCUGUUGUAAGAGAAGAACGAGUGUGGGAGUGGAAAGUUCACACUGUGACGGUAUCUUACCAGAAAGAGACGGCUAACUACGUG
rnacentral:rRNA from 1 species